rnacentral:rRNA from 1 species
GACGAACGCUGGCGGCGUGCUUAACACAUGCAAGUCGAACGGAAAGGCCCUGCUUUUGUGGGGUGCUCGAGUGGCGAACGGGUGAGUAACACGUGAGUAACCUGCCCUUGACUUUGGGAUAACUUCAGGAAACUGGGGCUAAUACCGGAUAGGAGCUCCUGCUGCAUGGUGGGGGUUGGAAAGUUUCGGCGGUUGGGGAUGGACUCGCGGCUUAUCAGCUUGUUGGUGGGGUAGUGGCUUACCAAGGCUUUGACGGGUAGCCGGCCUGAGAGGGUGACCGGCCACAUUGGGACUGGGAUACAGCCCAGACUCCUACGGGAGGCAGCAGUGGGGAAUAUUGCACAAUGGGCGGAAGCCUGAUGCAGCAACGCCGCGUGCGGGAUGACGGCCUUCGGGUUGUAAACCGCUUUCGCCUGUGACGAAGCGUGAGUGACGGUAAUGGGUAAAGAAGCACCGGCUAACUACGUG